GGGGAAUUAGCUCAGCUGGGAGAGCGCCUGGUUUGCAACCAGGAGGUCACCGGUUCGAGGCCGGUAUUCUCCA
rnacentral:tRNA from 1 species